GGCAGGCGGCCGUCCGUGGAUGCUGCUGGGAAGGCCGCAGUGUACGGGAGUGCCGGGGCCGACGCCAAGUACAAGGGGCAGAACGGGGAUUUCUCGCCCACCGGCGUGCUGGCAGCCAGCAGGUACGUGUGUCCCCCUCAGCUGACCCUUCCCUGUCCUCGCUGUCCCUUGGAUUUGGCUCCAGAGAUGUCGUUGCCCCUUGGCUCAUGCGCUCGCUGCCAGCUGGGAUCUCCUCCCGCCACCUCACGACCGUCCAUGGCUCCUCUCUAGUCCCAGCUGUGACCUUGCUCCCAGAUGGUCCCAACCUGCCCACGGCAGCCCCCAGUACGGCGGACCCACCAACACCUUCACGGUCAGGCCCGGGACACGCCAGCCCAUCUCCUACGCCUACCAGAGCAGCCACCGGUAGGCUCGUCCCCAGGGCUGCUCUGCCACCUGCACCCGGCUGGGAAGGGAGGAGAAGGUGCCUGGCAUGGUCCUUUCCUUCUCCAUGGGCCCCAGGGACGGCCCCAACCCAGCCAGCAAACGUGCUGCUUGAAACUACUGCUGGAGAAGGUGGGGGAUGACCCUGGGACUCGGACUUUGGUCUCAAAAGACUGUCAUGGAGAGUAAGUUACUGCAGACAGGCCACUGCCGUGUUACCUGAGCAAACGUGGCUUGCCUUUUUCCCCAUUUUCCCCUUGGAUUAUUUUCAGAAUUGCAGCCUGAUAGGUCAUCUUAAGAAAGCCAAAGAGUGUCCUUAGUUCUCUUUGAAGAGCAUCACCACUGGAAAAGUUGGUUUGAGAUUGGUUUUUUUUGAGUUGGUUUAACUCCAACGUGCUUGGGAGUAGGGAGAAACCAACUGGGAGAUGUGCAUUAUGGAAGCAAGCCAGUGUAUAGCUCAGGGUAGGGGGAUUAAAAUAAGAGUGUGAGGCCAAUGGGAUAGAAAGAGAGUUUAGGAUGUCCAGAUCCUGACCUCUUCCAUCCCCACCUCCUUCAACAGCCUGGAGCAAAUCAAUUAUGCUGAUGCCUUAAAACAGCUCCUGGCUGUCAGGGCCUGUCCUCCUCUUCCAGGGAGCAGCUUUGGGAGCAGGGGCCUUGCUUUGCUGUGCCUUUUGGUCACUGGAAAUGUCUCUGUUGGUAAUUAUUCCUCGUGGAAGGAGGCUGUGAGGCCUGGAUGGACGGCUCUGAAGCCCUUUGGAGACUUAGGACGUGGAGCAAUCCUUCUUUUCUUUUCAGCUGGUGGGUGCCAGUGACUUGCCAAGGUGCUGUGCUGGUGGUGCUUCCCCUGAGGGGUCUCUUGCCACUUCGUACCCAUGUAACCCCCCACCCCUGAUAGUUCAGCCACAGGAUCCUUAUAAACUGCUCUGCUGAGACUUGGCUUUAGUUUGCUUGAUUUGGGGACUAAGCAGCCAAAUUUCAGUGUGACUGUAGGCAGCUACAGUCCUGGUGUGGGGUGGCUGCAGUGACAUCCCUGAGGGAGCUGGCUCCCGCUGCUUCCAUAGGUGCUGGAUGUGCCUGUGCCUGCUUCCUGCUGCUGCCUCUGAAGGAGCUGGUUGUGGCUGUGCAGUGGGGGGGAGAUACAAGAAGCCUUAAAGAUAAAAGGUAUUUUAUACUCCAGAGUGAGCAGUGCGGUCUCACAAUAGCUGACCAAAGCUUUGAAUAACCAGCUUCCUGAAACUAGAAAUAAAAGCUCUUCCUCGUAGGUAAACUUGCUGAAA
rnacentral:lncRNA from 1 species